GACCCCAAAUCGCCCCAUGGGACCCCAAAAGGGACCCCAAAAGGGACCCCAAAGUGACCCCAAAUCCCACACGGGGACCCCAAAAAUGGCAUCUGGGACCCCAAAAAUGACAUCUGGGACCCCAAAAGGGACCCCAAACAGACCCAAAAAUCCCACACGGGGACCCAAAAUCCCACACGGGGACCCCAAAUCCCACACGGGGACCCCAAAUGCCCCCAUGAGACCCCAAAAGGGACCCCAAAAGUGACCCCAAAUCCCACACGGGGACCCCAAAAUGACAUCUGGGACCCCAAAUGCCCCCAUGGGACCCCAAAAAUCACAUCUGGGACCCCAAAUGCCCCCAUGAGACCCCAAAAGGGACCCCAAAAGGGACCCCAAAUGCCCACACGGGGACCCCAAAAAUGGCGGCGGGGACCCCAAAUGCCCCCAUGGGACCCCAAAAUCCCACACGGGGACCCCAAAUGCCCCCAUGAGACCCCAAAAGGGACCCCAAAAUGACCCCAAAUCCCACACGGGGACCCCAAAAAUGGCGGCGGGGACCCCAAAUGCCCCCAUGGGACCCCAAAAGGGACCCCAAAAGGGACCCCAAAGGGACCCCAAAAGGGACCCCAAAUCCCACACGGGGACCCCAAAAAUGGCGGCGGGGACCCCAAGUGCCCCCAUGGGACCCCAAAAAUGACAUCUGGAACCCCAAAAAUGGCGGAAGGGACCCCAAAUGCCCCCAUGAGACCCCAAAAGGGACCCCAAAAGGGACCCCAAAUCCCACACGGGGACCCCAAAAAUGGCGGCGGGGACCCCAAAUGCCCCCAUGGGACCCCAAAAAUCCCACAUGGGGACCCCAAAAAUGGCAGAAGGGACCCCAAAUGCGCCCAUGAGACCCCAAAAGGACCCCAAAAGUGCCCCCAAAUGCCCCCAUGGGACCCCAAAACUGACAUCUGGGACCCCAAAUGCCCCCAUGGGACCCCAAAAUCCCACACGGGGACCCAAAAUCCCACACGGGGACCCCAAAAUCCCACACGGAGACCCCAAAUGCCCCCAUGAGACCCCAAAAGGGACCCCAAAAGGGACCCCAAAGUGACCCCAAAUCCCACACGGGGACCCCAAAAAUGGCAUCUGGGACCCCAAAUGCCCCCAUGGGACCCCAAAAGGGACCCCAAAAGGGACCCCAAAUCCCACACGGGGACCCCAAAAAUGGCGGCGGGGACCCCAAAUGCCCCCAUGAGACCCCAAAGGGGACCCCAAAAGGGACCCCAAAGUGACCCCAAAUCCCACACGGGGACCCCAAAAAUGGCGGAAGGGACCCCAAAUGCCCCCAUGGGACCCCAAAAAUGGCGGAAGGGACCCCAAAUGCCCCCAUGAGACCCCAAAGGGGACCCCAAAAGGGACCCCAAAUCCCACACAGGGACCCCAAAAAUGACAUCGGGGACCCCAAAAUUCACAUCUGGGACCCCAAAUGCCCCCAUGGGACCCCUAAAAUGACAUUUGGGACCCCAAAAGUGACACAAAAAGUGACGUCUGGGAUCCCCAAAUCCCCCAUGGGACCCCAAAAAUGACAUCUGGGACCCCAUAAAUCCCCUUUGGGACCCCAAAAUCACGUCUGGAACCCCAAAAUCCCCCAUUUCCCCCCCCCAAAGCCCCUCUGGAACCCCAAAAUUCCACACGGAGACCCCAAAAAUCACAUCAGGGACCCCAAAAAUCACAUCUCGGGGCCCAAAUGCCCUCAUGGGACCCCAAAAAUGACAUCUGGGACCCCAAAAAUCCCCCAUGGGACCCCAAAAU
ensembl:lncRNA